GUGAACGCUGGCAACAAGCAUAACACAUGCGAGUUUAAAGAUAAUUUUUAUCUUAGCGAACGGGUGAGUAAUACACGAUUGUCUCUGCCUUAAAAUUAGGGCUAUUGCAGUUUAGAAAAGAUUUCUAAAUGAACUUUUAACAAGGCAAGAAUCCCUUAAAGAGUAUUCUCGUUUUAAGAUGAGGUCGUGUACGAUUAGGUAGUUGGUGGGGUUGAGCUUACCAAGCCGAUGAUCGUUAGUUGGUCUGAGAGGAUGAUCAAUCACACUGGGACUGAGACAAGGCCCAGGCUUUUUCGAAAGCCAGCAGUGUGGAAUUUUGGACAAUGAGCGAAAGCUUGAUCCAGCUAUGUUGCGUGAGUGAAGAAGGCUCCUUGAGGUUGUAAAACUCAAUCUUCAAUGAGGAUAAUGACGUUAAUUGAAGAAAAAGCCCCGGCUAAUGUUCGUGCCAGCAGCCGCGGUUAUACGGAGGGGGCGAACGUUAUCCAGAUUGACUGGGCGUAAAGGGUUCGUAGGCGGUUUUACACAGUUGCAGAGAAAAGACCAGAUUAAACCUUUGGGAAAAUUUGCAAAACGGUAAGACUAAAGUUCAACAGGGGGUAGCGGAAUUUUGCAUGUAGGGGUGGUAUCCAUAAAUAUGCGAAGGAGACCGGUGGCGAAGGCGGCUACCUGGGUUGAAACUGACGUUCAGGGACGAAAGCAUGGGGAGCAAACAGGAUUAGAUACCCUGGUAGUCCAUGCCGUAAACGAUGGGUGCUCAACAGGAGAUCAAAGAUUUCCAGGAGAGAUGGGAAACCUAUAAGCACUCCGCCUGAGAAGUACGACCGCAAGGUUGAAACUCAAAGAAAUUGACGGGGGCUCAUACAAGUGGUGGAGCAUGUGGUUUAAUACGAUAAUACGCGUCCAACCUUACCAGUUCUUGAUAUGUAAGAUCAAACAAGGCUUGUCCUUGACAGAUGCCUUGGUAAUAGGUGGAAAGUUCUUACACAGGUGUUGCAUGGCUGUCGUCAGCUCGUGUCGUAAGAUGUUUGGUUCAGUCCUUUAACGAGCGAAACCUCUAUUUGUGGUUGCUAAUUACAAAAAUUUUGUAAAGAACUUCACAAAAACUGCCGAAUAUUCAACAGAGAGGAAGGUGGAGAUCACGUCAAGUCCUUAUGGCCCUUAUGAACUGGGCUACACACGUGCUACAAUGGGAAGAACAGCGGGCGACAAAAACGUAAGUUUGAGUAAAUCCUUAAAUCUUUCCGUAGUUCGGAUUGAAGACUGCAACUCGUCUUCAUGAAGUCGGAAUCACUAGUAAUCGUAGAUCAGGACGCUACGGUGAAUUUGUACCUGGGCUUUGCACUCAC
rnacentral:rRNA from 1 species